rnacentral:rRNA from 1 species
AACGCAAAUUGCACUCUCCGGUUUUCCGGGAGAGUAUGCCUGUUUGAGGGUCAGCCUAAAUAAAUUCGGCUUCGUUGCUGUGUUUCGCGGUAACGUUUUAGUCGGAAUUUGGGUCAUCUUAAACCGAAAUUCGGUCUUAAGCGACUUAAAAAUUUUUUUUACGAUCCCACGAACGUUUCUAAGAUCUUCUUACACGUUCAAGGUGUCGAAUAACCCUAUUAGUCGUGACCGUCGUAUCGGAUCGCGUCCAUAAUAUUUAUUCUUUAACUGACCUCAGACAGGUAAGAGUACCCGCUGAACUUAA